rnacentral:rRNA from 1 species
UGGCGAACGGGUGAGUAACGCGUGAGGAACCUGCCUCAAAGAGGGGGACAACAGUUGGAAACGACUGCUAAUACCGCAUAAGCCCACGGGUCGGCAUCGACCUGAGGGAAAAGGAGCAAUCCGCUUUGAGAUGGCCUCGCGUCCGAUUAGCUAGUUGGUGAGGUAACGGCCCACCAAGGCGACGAUCGGUAGCCGGACUGAGAGGUUGAACGGCCACACUGGGACUGAGACACGGCCCAG